rnacentral:rRNA from 1 species
ACGAGUGGCGGACGGGUGAGUAAUGUCUGGGAAACUGCCCGAUGGAGGGGGAUAACUACUGGAAACGGUAGCUAAUACCGCAUAACGUCGCAAGACCAAAGAGGGGGACCUUCGGGCCCCUUGCCAUCGGAUGUGCCCAGAUGGGAUUAGCUAGUAGGUGGGGUAACGGCUCACCUAGGCGACGAUCCCUAGCUGGUCUGAGAGGAUGACCAGCCACACUGGAACUGAGACACGGUCCAG